rnacentral:rRNA from 1 species
CUACUCUUGACAUCCAGAGAAUUCGCUAGAGAUAGCUUAGUGCCUUCGGGAACUCUGAGACAGGUGCUGCAUGGCUGUCGUCAGCUCGUGUUGUGAAAUGUUGGGUUAAGUCCCGCAACGAGCGCAACCCUUAUCCUUGUUUGCCAGCACGUAAUGGUGGGAACUCCAGGGAGACUGCCGGUGAUAAACCGGAGGAAGGUGGGGACGACGUCAAGUCAUCAUGGCCCUUACGAGUAGGGCUACACACGUGCUACAAUGGCGUAUACAGAGGGCUGCAAGCUAGCGAUAGUGAGCGAAUCCCACAAAGUACGUCUGUAGUCCGGAUUGGAGUCUGCAACUCGACUCCAUGAAGUCGGAAUCGCUAGUAAUCGUGAAUCAGAAUGUCACGGUGAAUACGUUCCC